UGCCUUCGCUUACCCAGCCCUCCACGCCCCCCCUGCCCCCAACCCCCUCCCUCUCCCAGCAUUCCAAGCGGCCGAGGCUGACCCUGUCUCUCUCCAUGAUUUAGGUUUUGGAGAAGGACCGGAGAGGAUUUGUUUUGACGUUUAAAGGCAAUCCAGUAUCUAUUUCUGACGCAGCUGACAUGCCAUUUCCUCGGGCGGCGCAAGGCGGGCUCGGCUCUAAAUUAAACUCGUCUCCGACCCCUCGGAUCUGCAGGCCGUUCGGGGGCAGACCUGGCGAGGAAGCAGGAGAGGCCUGCUGGCCGGCGGUGAUGUAUGGAGCGGAGGGGAGCCCCGGGCGCUGGAACCGAGGCCCCCUCUGCGCAUUAACGAAUGACAGAGGAUGUCCCCAAGUCUCCUAAUCACCUCUAAUGCGCACGUGUGGAAGCGAACUUUCAAGCAGGCGAGAUAAGCGGCAACCGUGAAUGGCCAUCUUGCUAUCGUUUUAAAUCCCCAUGGCAGAUUUAGAGAGAAGCAAUUGGCCCACCUAUCCAAGGAGACAAUCGUGAAAAACAGCUCAGUCCCCGACCUCAACG